rnacentral:rRNA from 1 species
UACGUAGGGGGCAAGCGUUGUCCGGAUUUAUUGGGCGUAAAGAGCGUGUAGGCGGCCAUGCAGGUCCGUUGUGAAAACUCGAGGCUCAACCUCGAGACGUCGGUGGAAACCGCAUGGCUAGAGUCCGGAAGAGGAGAGUGGAAUUCCCGGUGUAGCGGUGGAAUGCGUAGAGAUCGGGAAGAACACCAGUGGCGAAGGCGACGUGCUGGGUUGCACCUGACGCUGAGAUGCGAAAGUGUGGGGAGCAAACGGG